UACGAAGGGGGCUAGCGUUGUUCGGAUUUACUGGGCGUAAAGCGCACGUAGGCGGGUCGUUAAGUCAGAGGUGAAAUCCCGGAGCUCAACUCCGGAACUGCCUUUGAUACUGGCGGUCUAGAGUCCGGAAGAGGUGAGUGGAACUCCUAGUGUAGAGGUGGAAUUCGUAGAUAUUAGGAAGAACACCAGUGGCGAAGGCGGCUCACUGGUCCGGAACUGACGCUGAGGUGCGAAAGCGUGGGGAGCAAAC
rnacentral:rRNA from 1 species